rnacentral:rRNA from 1 species
UCGAGGGGCAGCGGGGGUGAUGGCUUGCCAUCACCUGCCGGCGACCGGCGCACGGGUGAGUAACACGUAUGCAACCUGCCCGCCACAGGGGGAUAAGCGGAAGAAAUUCCGUCUAAUACCGCGUGACGCGGCGUCGGGGCAUCCCGGUGCCGCCAAAGGGAUUACCGGUGGCGGAUGGGCAUGCGGCGCAUUAGCUAGUCGGCGGGGUAACGGCCCACCGAGGCGACGAUGCGUAGGGGUUCUGAGAGGAAGGUCCCCCACACUGGUACUGAGACACGGACCAGACUCCUACGGGAGGCAGCAGUGAGGAAUAUUGGUCAAUGGGCGGGAGCCUGAACCAGCCAAGUCGCGUGAGGGAUGACGGUCCUACGGAUUGUAAACCUCUUUUGCCGGGGAGCAAGCGUGCGUUCGUGAACGCGCGUCGAGAGUACCCGGAGAAAAAGCAUCGGCUAACUCCGUGCCAGCAGCCGCGGUAAUACGGAGGAUGCGAGCGUUAUCCGGAUUUAUUGGGUUUAAAGGGUGCGUAGGCGGGAUGCCAAGUCAGCGGUAAAAAAGCGGUGCUCAACGCCGUCGAGCCGUUGAAACUGGCGUUCUUGAGUGGGCGAGAAGUAUGCGGAAUGCGUGGUGUAGCGGUGAAAUGCAUAGAUAUCACGCAGAACUCCGAUUGCGAAGGCAGCAUACCGGCGCCCUACUGACGCUGAGGCACGAAAGCGUGGGUAUCGAACAGGAUUAGAUACCCUGGUAGUCCACGCAGUAAACGAUGAAUGCUAACUGUCCGGUGCGAAUGAGCGCUGGGCGGUACAGCGAAAGCGUUAAGCAUUCCACCUGGGGAGUACGCCGGCAACGGUGAAACUCAAAGGAAUUGACGGGGGCCCGC